rnacentral:rRNA from 1 species
UYCCGGGCCUUGUACACACCGCCCGUCACACCAUGAGAGCUGGUAACACCCGAAGUCCGUGAGGUAACCGUAAGGAGCCAGCGGCCGAAGGUGGGAUUAGUGAUUGGGGUGAAGUCGUAACAAGGUAGCCGUAGGAGAACCUGCGGCUGGAUCACCUCCUUUCUAGGGA